rnacentral:piRNA from 1 species
UGUCCAGAUGUGGCCUCUAUCCUCCUUU